UGUGCCCACUGCAGUUCCCCCCUGACCCUGUACUGGAUAAAGCAUUAGAAAAUGAAUGGAUAAAUGUUGUGUUUGGAAAUGUGUAGAGCAGAACCUAUUCAACAUGUACAGUAAUUGUGGAAUUACUGACUGAUAAUAAAAUCAACCUGCAUGAGGUGAGUCUAUCAGGUCACUUGAUUUUUGUUUUUCAAAGGGAUUUAGCUUUAACAUAACUAAAUAAGCUGUAUUGGUUAUUUAGAAGAGUAUAGUGUGGAUUUCCUGUGUUGAUCUGGCAGUAGGCACUCUAAAGCAGUGAAGGGAGAGUUGCAAUGACCUUUUAGAGUUCAUGGGCAAUGUGACCACUGCAGAGUCUGACUCAGUAUGAAGCUGAGAGUCACUGAAAUUCACUGAAAUCACACUGGGUGACACCUUAUAGCCACCUGCCACAGCUGGAGAAUUCCGAACCCUGUGUUCCCAUCCCACACCAACCUCUUCUGUCUGUGUUCACUACAAUUACAGGUCACAGGGUAUUCUGCAGACAAAUGGGUGUAUUUAAUUGGUUAAUAGUGUAUUUAAUUGCACUGUAACAACAUGCCUACAACAUGCUGGGGUGAGUGGGCCUUCCAUAACCUUAGAAGAGGCAUUACACUGACAAACACGCAUAGCUUGACAAUCAUUAAUAACACAGUACUUAAUAAAUCAUUUACAGCACUGUUUGCACUUUUCAGUGUAGAAUUAACUUGUUCCUUUACAGCUCCCCAAGCUCCCCACGCUGACCAUAUAUACGAUUCAUAUAUAUAUAGAUGUGUGUGUUGCUUUUACAGAAUGAAGUAGAGGAGCUGUGAUGUUCUUGAUUUUUUUUGGCUCUUAGCUUUAUAGAGUAAUUGGAAACUGCUGAAUCAUAUAUCCUACGCCAACGUAAAACAUUUUUAAAUAGCUGGCCAGUAAGCUGCAGUGCUUAUUGUUAAUGUUCCCUUCGCCCUCCACAAAAGUUAUGAGUUGUAACUGUAAAAGUUAACUUUUAGGGAAAUACCAGAAUUUCUGGCACAGUGUGCCAUCAGCAGGCUCGUAUGAAAUGCCAAACCUAAAAGUAGUCUCAGGUAAUUCCCAGAGAGGAAUGAGGUUACCACAGUAACUACGCAUGGAAAGGAGAUGUGAAAGGCAAAGUUUAUUUUUAAAUAACUUUUUUGCUGUUUAGGUUUUCAGUUUGUGCAGUAUCUGAGAACUAAUGAUCAAACUUAUAUACACCCUCGACGGUGUCUUAGCCUGGCAGUGCAUAUUUUAUUGACAUUAAAAUGUGUUUUUCUUUGUGGUAACAAUUCAAACAGUAGGGAACCUUUCAGCGAUUGUUUUAACAAAUGAUUUAUUUGUUUUACUGUUUUGGCAUAUAAAACUUAAAUGAAGCCCUGUAAGUUGCCAAGAAAACACAACAAUUUGGUAUAACAGUAAAAAAAUCUAUUAAAAAGAAGUUUGGAAAAUGUUCAUAUGAAGGAAUGAUAACCUCUGUUAAUGUGUCAAAAAAGACACAAUUUCAACCGAAAAGGUGAAUGAGUUUUUGUAAAAGGAAUAGUCUAAAUGAGGGAAAAUAAUUUAAACCCUUUAGAGCCAGCUCUUCCGAAACUUUCACUUAACAUCUUGGAAUGCUGUAUGCUGUCUAUUCAUAUAUGAAUGCAUUUUGCUUUCUUAAGAAGCUCAACUGAAAAGGUUGAUGUUUUCAAUUUACUAAAAUAUCACUUAGGACCAAAACAAAUUCUGUGGUCCAGACCGCAAGAGAAAACUAUUUCAGUUUUCUUAGCCCUGCAUAAUUUUUCUCUUCAUUCCAGGUCAUGGAAAGCCAGAAAUAAGGCUUUAAUACAGCUUAUUAAGAGCAGAGAUCUGUUGGAAAUGCAAACGAAUGGACUCUUGUCCCCCAGGCUGUUGCAGAAGGAAUGAAGUGGUCUUUGCACAUUCGGCUUAUGUGUUUGACUUCAUCUGUUUUUGUUUACGGGGAAUUAGCCCAACGUUUCAUUGCGUGAAAACCCUGUUGUUAUGUUUGUUCAGUGAAAGCUUCUGUAAUUACUUCUGCAACAAAGAAGGUUCUUGCCGUUCUGGGUGGGUUACAGCACCCUUGCAGGCAACAGCCUUACAUUUUCUCAGAGUCCUUACUGUAUCGCCUCUGGCUUCAUGUAAAUGAUAAAACUGCAGUGACAGAAAAUCUGCGUGUGCCCGAGGCCUUGCGAUAAGAAGCUGACAAUUUAUAAAAAAGAAAUCAAAACACAUACUACGCACUGCCCUUCAAGAAACCUACUGCCACACCUGUACAAAAGGGACUUGAGGAGUGUUUAAGAUGCAUAAUGGUAUCAGCAAAGUCAACCUGUAGGAUUACCUCAGGAUCAACAGUGCAACUAAGACUUGAGAGACCUAGUGGAAGAUCAUUAAGGACAGAAAUCAGAAAUCAACCCCUGUGCAUAAAGAGCAGAAUAGAUGAGAAGAAACUACCCCGGCAUGGGGCCUUAUUGAUUCCAGGAUCCUAGAGAAUCUGUGGUUGAAACAGAUUCUCUAGGAUCCUGGAAUCAAUAAGCUAACAGCAAGCAAAUGAACAAAAUGGGGAAUACUAUUAUAAAUUCCUUUGCAGUUGCAAGCUAAUUGAUGUGCUCCACUAACAGAGUUGUUCAACAGAGGUCUGGGACAAGGUCAAAGUGUAAUCUUGCACCUAAGCUCACUUAGCUAUAAAUGUCUACCUCUUGAGCCUUCGCCGAGCUAAUAUUUUCUCUUCACCCCAUCUUCACCCUAACAGCUGCCUCCCUUGCUCAUUCCUUGUAAGUGAAGGGGGAAUUUUUCAGCCUUGAUCUUACAGCCAGGACUGUCACUUCCUCAGUCAAGCAUUUAAACGUGUCCCUUUAUAGUCUCAGUCUUGUGCUGUCAUAAUCAGGAUUGGCCAAACUACUACAUUGGUUCCAAGUUCCUUAAGACCAUAUUUAAAAAAAACACAUUGCAGAAAUGUACACUUGAAUCUCACAAGACAUCAAGUAGAAAGAACCAGGCUUCUCUUUGAGCUUUAAAGAAAGAACAUUUCUUCUUCACAGGAUCCCCACAUAUGUGUGUUAACCACCACUGCAGCUAAUAAUAAGAUUCUAGAAAAGUUGGGUAAUUUCUCUGGUAUUAAUUUAACGAAUCAUAACAGAUUAUGAUACUACCCCUUGCUAGUAUGAUGGCCCCUGGUACUUUUACAAUCGCAGACCCAAAUCUGUACAACUGACAUAACCCCCAGUUAUUUCAUAGUCAUGAAAAUAUAUAUAUUUAACUUUUAACUUCAAAAGAAUAAACACAAGAAAAAAAAGACCAGGGUGGGGAAGAAUAAAAAAGAAAACUACUUCUAAAUUUGGAAAACGUUCUUCUACAUACAGAGCGCAGAACAUACUGUCACCCACUGUCAGGGGGAAACUUGCUUUAACUUUGUCCUCCUGGCUGAAACUCAAAACAAACGCCACUCGGGAGCCAGUAUAAACAGCUCAUUCUUGACGAGAAACUGAUUCUGACAAAAAGAUUGCUUCAUUUGUACAAAUAUUGAGAGACUUCGGACUGCAAUUAUUACUGUAUUAUCUAAGCUCUUUUAUGUCCUGAAAUCCUAAAGCACUCUGGAGACUGUGUGAUGGACAUUUGUCCUUCGGCAAUGCAGUAUAUUUGGGGAAACGUUUGAUAAGUCUCUUAUGCACAUCCUUUUAUCAGAGAAGCUUGCUACCAUUAGGAACAGCAUCUCUGACAAAACAUCUGUAUUCUGAAUUGUGGCUAACCAGGACUACAUGUACUGGUAUGAUAGCUCACUGAUCCAGCCUUCUCUUGAUACAUCUCCAGGAGUUUGAUCUGGAGAGCUGUCCCAGAAUUAAAUAAUGACUGAAGAAGAUUCCCAGGAUGCUGUGGGCGGUAGCUAAAGGAGUCAGGAUUUAGGCAAUAAUUCCUGACCCCUGCAAGUGAAAUACUGCAGCCUGCAAAAGCAGAGCAACAUCUGGACACCUCCCCUCCCCCACUAGCUCCCUGGCCUCCUUGUCUCUUUUCCAACCAAACUCCUCCACCCUUCUUCUAUCUGGCUCGGAAGAUCGCUUCACGCCUGCAGCCUGGGCGCAGGGAGUCCUGCCCCACACGCUCCACUGACAGGCUGUCCUUCUCCCAGCUUGAAGGAGUGUUUCCUGUUAUUCUCCCACAACAGCCCAGCAUCAAGGCCCUCUCAUUCUAUCCCAGUCUGGGUCACGACAACAGCAACAACGGCCUUUGUGAUGCCCUUUACUCCUGCACUCACAAAGGCGGCUAAGGACAGGCUCUCUCCUCAUUGAUUACUCUACCUGGAAACCGCUCGUUGACGAAAGAUUCUUUUUCAGACCCAGAAAGAGAACAGGGAACAAUUGCCAAGCAAAGUCAAGGCCUGCUUUGAUUCCCAUGAUGCUCUGGAUGACCCCAAACACACUUCCAUACUGUUUUAAAGGAGGCCUUGGGAAAGGAUAUCAAAAACGAAAGCUGAACUAUAUUUUUCAGUGGCAAACAUCUCCUGCAGUGCUGAAUCAAUGGGUUUCUCCAAGAUAUGCAUUUAAAACAGUCCCAGCGGGAGAACGGAGGAAUUCAAGUUUGCCUUACUUUCACCUGCGGCAAAUGUAUGCAGGCACAAAUGAAAUGUAAUUAAAUGCAAAAACAAAAUGCAGAAAUAAA